rnacentral:lncRNA from 1 species
GCCAGAUCAGUUGUAUGCACAAAGCGGCUUUGGAUCUGUCUUUUCAAACAAGAGCUGCAGAAAACGUUAUAGCAAGGUUGAUGCUUUAUUCCACUCUGAUUCACCCAGAAAGCACAACCCUGAUUUUGCCUGAGAAGGACUACUAACAGAACCUGAAACGUGAGUACUGUUUUUUUUUUUCUUUUUUUGUGCUGUUGAAUUCUAUGCUAUAUAACUAACUCUGAUAUGACGUGGCCUUUAUUAAGAUAUGUAAUGAAAGUCUUGAGUAAGUGUAAUUAUAGACUAUGAGAAGUAUAAGAAGGGCGGAAAGUGAAAAGUGAUAUUUCUGUUUUAUUGUUCCCUUUCAGAGAAUUUUUGUAGUUAAUGUUUAACUUUGAAGACAGUACAUUUGUGCUAUUCUUUGACAUUCAGUUUAAAGCAUACAGUUUGUAGUUUUUUUUUAUUCCAUUGUAUCUGUGGUUGAUAAGGUAUGU